CAUGCAGUCGACGCGGCUAUCCCGCAAGGGAUAGCUGAGUGGCGAACGGGUGAGUAACACGUGGGUGACCUACCUUCGAAUGGGGGAUAACGUCCCGAAAGGGACGCUAAUACCGCAUAACAUCCCGCCUUUGAACAGGCGGACAUCAAAGCUGGGGAUCGCAAGACCUGGCGUUUGAAGAGGGGCCCGCGUCUGAUUAGCUAGUUGGUGGGGUAACGGCUCACCAAGGCGACGAUCAGUAUCCGGCCUGAGAGGGCGGACGGACACACUGGGACUGAGACACGGCCCAGACUCCUACGGGAGGCAGCAGUGGGGAAUUGUUCACAAUGGGCGCAAGCCUGAUGACGCAACGCCGCGUGGAGGAUGAAGGUCUUCGGAUUGUAAACUCCUGUUGCUCGGGACGAAAAGCUCUGACCUAACACGUCAGAGUCUGACGGUACCGGGUGAGGAAGCCCCGGCUAACUCUGUGCCAGCAGCCGCGGUAAUACAGAGGGGGCAAGCGUUGUUCGGAAUUACUGGGCGUAAAGGGCGCGUAGGCGGCCUUCUAAGUCAGACGUGAAAUCCCCGGGCUCAACCCGGGAACUGCGUCUGAUACUGGAGGGCUUGAAUCCGGGAGAGGGAUGUGGAAUUCCAGGUGUAGCGGUGAAAUGCGUAGA
rnacentral:rRNA from 1 species